AGUCACAGCCUCAGCCGCAGCGGCCGUGCUACCUAGGUGAUAGCGGAGCGGCUGGGUAGGAAGCAAUUGUUCUCAAACUUCACUAGCCCCGUCGGCGCGGACGCUUGUCGAGAAUGCAGAUUCCUGGGUACUGCCAGAUACGGUUGGUGAUCUUGUAGGGCUGGAGUGGAAGCCAUGAAUCUGCAUUUUCAUCAUUUCUGGCCCUCUGCCCGGGCUGGGGUGAUUCACGGGGAUUCGUAGUGGCCCCAAAGGAGCACGCAGAACCUCGGCUGCUGUGCAUUUAUCACCUCUUUUGUUCCCGGAGGCCGCACCCCAGGUCCAGUUUACACAGCUGCCAACUCCUUUUCUUGGUUCCCACUGGAAUCUAGGAAGAAAACUCGCCCUUUACUUCUCCGCCCCACACCCGACGACGGAGUGUCUAGAGGUCUGGUCGGCCUUGGCUGUGCGGAGGGCUAGGCCUGACGAGCGGGCGCUGAUGCGGCGCAGACCCCGCCGGACCUCUUGGUCGGCCCGGGGUAGGCUGGGGAGCCGCGGGAACAGGACUGGAUAGGGAAAGCGGCACCGCAGCGUCCACGGGCAAGCUGAAAGUCCGCUUGAUGUCUUUGCAUCACAGUGGCGCCCUCCCCGCAGGAACGCCCGGCCGCCUGCACCGAACGUUUGCCUGCAGGGAACGGCCAACCCGCCCUGAAAUACUCUUUUUGUGGGCUGCAGCUUUCGGGUAUUUUAAGCCAUGGUUCUGUGCCCUUCCUUGUUUUCAAAAACACCACAGCCAAAGGCUGCGGGUUGUGUGCUUUCAUUUUGUGUUAAGUUCUGUGGUGGAGACCUGGAGUCUGUUUUUCCAAAUAGGCACCUUGAAAUAGAUACGCUUCUUAAGCGGGGAAAGUACGAGUAGGUCCUAUUAUUUGCAAUGUUUUAGCCUUUCCAGACUCCGUACAAAUGACUAAAUGAAGAUUGGAUCGUAUUUUCAGGCACUGCACCAAUGAUAGAAAAUUCUCAACUUGGGGUCAAAAGCAAGGGCAGCUUUCGUUUUUCUUAAAUAUGCUUCUGAUCAAAUAUCUAAAGUGUUGAAAGAAACCUAACCCUUAAUAGCACAAUUUACAGGAGUGCAUAAUUUCCUAGGACUGACAUUUAGUUCCAAAUGUUUUAAAGUCAAUUACAACAUCAUCUCACCCUAUAGUAAGCUGUCCAUAUAUUCUCAUUAUUAUUUUUAAAUUAUUUCUAUUAAAUCAGCUUCAUUUGAACUUUAACCAUAAAUGCAUAAAUCGUUUUUGGGAAGGGGGUACAGUCGCGCUUGAAGAGCAAGGGAUUUUGUCAUUGCGGGAGUUGUCUGGCUUCAGAAUAAUAUUGGAAUAAUAUAUUUUCGUGUUUCAUAUUUUAGAAAAACCUUUUACAUAUGUGCUCCCAAACCAAUCUUUUUUUAUUUUUUAUUUUUUUUAUUAUUAUACUUUAAGUUCUAGGGUGCACAACUUGCAGGUUUGUUACAUAUGUAUACAUGUGCCAUGUUGGUGUGCUGCACUCGUUAACUCGUCAUUUACAUUAGGUAUAUCUCCUAGGGCUAUCCCUCCCCCCUCCCCCCACCCCACGACAGGCCCUGGUGUGUGAUGUUCCCCACCCUGUGUCCAGGUGUUCUCAUUGUUCUAUUCCCACCUAUGAGUGAGAACAUGUGUUUGAUUUUCCUGUCCUUGCCAUGGGCUCCCAAACCAAUCUUUACACAUCUUGUUUACAUCUUCAUGAAGAGGGAAAACCCAAAAUAUUAAACUGUUAGGCAGAAUAGUGUUUAAAUAAGUACAUCUAAAGUUUAGGAAUUAGGUCCUGAUAUGAUUUGACUCUGUGUCCCUACCCAAAUCUUAUAUCGAAUUUUAAUCCCCACGUAUGGAAGGAUUAAAGUGAUUGGAUUAUGAGGACGUUUUCUCCCAUGCUGUUCUGAUAGUUAAGUGAAUUCUCACACGAUCUGAUGGUUUUAUAAAUGGUAGUUUUUCCUGUGGUCUCACAUGCUCUCUCUCACCUGCCGUCAUGUAAGACCUGCCCUGUAAGACGUGCCUGCUUCCCCUUCCUCCAUGAUUGGAAAAUUUUGUGAGGCCGCCCAGGCAUGUGCAGCUGAGUCAAUUAAACCUCUUUCCUUUAUAAAUUACCCAGUCUCGGUAUUUCUUUAUAGCAGUGUGAGAAUGGAUUAAUAUAGGGCCCCAAAUCUGAAGUGUCUCAUAAUUAAAGUUCAUGAAACUUAACUUUUUUUGUAAUCGUUUUGUCAAAUUAUUACAGAAUGUUGAUGGGACAGAUAAGAAAAAAUACAGACAAUGUAGAACUCAGACCAGUAAUACAUAGCUAGCAUUUAUUGAAUACAUAAUGUAGGCCGGGGAGCUAUUGUAUACGCUUUUUUUGUUUUUGUUUUUGUUUUUUUGAGUCAGGGUCUCACUCUGUUGCCUAGGCUGGAGUGCAGUGGCACGAUCUUAGCUCUGUGCAACCUCAACCUCCCGGGCUCAAAUGAUCUUUCCACCUCAGCCUCCUGAGUAGCUGGGACUACAGGUGCAUGCCACCGUGUCUGGCUAAUUUUUGUAUUUUUUUAUAGCGAUGGGGUUUUGCCAUGUUAGCUAGGCUGAUCUCAAACUCCUGGCCUCAAACGAGUCACCCGCAUUGGCCUCCCAAAGUGCUGGGAUUACGGGUAUGAGCCACCAGGCCUGGCCUAUACACUUGUAAAUUUAUUAAGUCUUUUACUGUUCACAACAAUUUUAUCAGUUGAUUAACCUUAUUUUACAGAUAAGGAAAUUAAGCACAAAGAGGUAAAUAACUUGCCCCAGUUCCAAGAACUAAUUAGUGGCAGAACCUGGAUUAGGUGUGAUGCUGGUUGUGGGAACUACAAACUGUGUUUAUGUGCAUACUUGAUUUAUAUUAGGCAGAAAACUAUUGUGAAUAAUAUUACAGUAAUGUAUUAGGUAAGGAGGCUGAGCCUUACCAUUAAAAAGGACCCUGAUCAGCCACCAAGAAGUCCUUGGCCAGGCAUGGUGGCCAAUGCCUGUAAUCCUAGCACUUUGGGAGGACAGGGCAGGAGGAUUGCCUGAGCCCAGGAGUUUGACACCAGGGCACCAUAGCAAGACCCCAUCUCUAUAAAAAUAAUAAAUGCAUAAAUAAUACAUAAAAUAAUAAUAACAAGAAAAAGUCCUCCAUUGUUCUAAUCUCUAAGACCAACUUUUCUCUCCAAUUCUUCUGCCAUCACUCUGGGCUUACUAUCAAUUUCCUUAACCAAUCUCUUAGCUACCAGACAAUCUCUAUCAAAUUUAUCCUACACACAGAAAAGCACUUUAUCUAAAAUACAGACAUUAAAGUCUUUUUUUUUUUUUUUUGAGAUGAGGUUUCACUGUUGCUCAGGCUGGAGUGCAGUGAUGCCAUCAUGGCUCACUGCAGCCUCAACCUCCUGGGUUCAGGUGAUCCUCCCACCUCAGCCUCCCGAGUGGCUAGGACUACAGGCACGCACCACCACCACCACACCAGGCUAAUUUUUGUAUUUUUUGUAGAGAUGAGGUCUCGUCAUGUUGCCCAGGGUAGUCUUGAACUCCUGGGCUCAAGUGAUCCUCCUGCCUCAGCCUCCCAAAGUGUUAGGAUUACAGGUAUGAGCUACUGUACCCAGCCUAAAGUCAUUUUUUUACUCAAAGUUAUCCCCUUUUUGGCAUGAUCAACUCUUUAACUGGGCAUUUAAGGUUUUCAUUAAACUGGUUUUGCUUUUCUUUUUUACUUUUUACAGAGACAGGGUCUUGCUAUGCUGCCCAGGCUGCUCUCAAACUCAUGGGCUCAGGCAAUCUGUCCGCCUCUGCCUCCCAAAGUGCUGGGGUGGCAGGCAUGAGCCAGCCACCACACUGACCCAAAACUGUUUUUGCUUUUAAAAUUUGUUUUCAAUGUUACACAGUGACAGUGCUAGGUGGGAAGUAAGGCAACUAUGGACAGGAAUGUCUGGAGCUCCCUCUCCUUAGCUAGUGAUCUUGUGAUGUGUAGUUUACUUGUUCUGGCUUAAAGGCCCAAGUUUGAGGUAUUCUUUUUGUUGUUUUGUUUUGAUUUUAAUUUUUAUCCAAGCAAUGCAAGCAUAGAGUUUAAAAAUUCAAGUAGAACUAAAAAUAUUAUAGACAAUAACAAAAAAACAUUUCUUGGCUCCUUCUUCAGAUGCAAUCCCUUGUAACAUUUUAUGCCAUUCAGGAGUUCCAGACCAGCCUGGGAAACAUAGCAAGACCCUGUCUCAAACAACAACAAAAACAAAUCCAGUAACUCUUAGGUUUGUGAAAAUUGUCAGAAUCAAGAUAGAGUCACUAGUGUGGGGGAAAAAAACAAACAAACAAAAAAACCCAGACAAAUAGAACCCAGGAAGGCCAUUAAGAGGAUUCUCAUGCACAGAUGCCUGCUAACAAAAACUGUCACAAAACACUGCAAAACCACAACCUUGCACAAACGCUGUCAAAAUCUUAGACAAAAAAUAGUUCUUCAAGGACAUCUCCCCAGCAACUCCCUGUGCAGUCUUGGGCUGCUGUCACCCUUGUUACUGAUCUUUGUAGCCAAAGAUAAUUAUCUCAAAAUAAUUAUUAUAAUCCUCCACAUUUUUUCCUUUAAAAACCUUUGUCUUCCCUUACCUCCCUGAAUGUGCACAUAGUUUACUAUGGCACACAUAUUCCCACUGGAAUGCUGUAUUCCCAAAUAAACAUCGUUUUCUUCUAGAGAGCCUCCCUCUGUUAUUUAGAUUGAAAGAUUAAUACUACUGUUUUUAGUUUCCACUUCCCUGAAGCAGGAAAAAAUUUAUAUUCCUCUACUUGUGUAAGAAUUUGCCUAUGCAAAUGUUAAUUGGCUCUAUAGUUACUGAUUAUUCCAGUGAUAUUUCAGUGCCCCUUUCAGAUAAAUGAUUUGGGCAACGCCCCAACUGCUUACCUUUUAAUCCAGAUCUGGUUGUGGUUAAAAAAAAGAGCAGGAAUAUACAAAAAUUAACUGGGCAUGAUGGGGUGCAAGCCUAUAAUCCCAGCUGCUCCGGAAGCUGAAGCAGGAGAAUUGCUUGAACCCAGGAAGUGGAGGUUGCAAUGAGCUGAGAUCACACUGUUGCACUCCAGCCUGGGUGACAGAGCGAGACUGUCUCAAAAAAAAAAAAAAAAGGCCAGGCGCAGUGGUUCAUGCCUGUAAUCCCAGCACUAUGGGAGGCCGAGGCAGGCAGAUCACCUGAGGUCAGGAGUUUGACACCAGCCUGGCCAACAUAGUGAAACCCCGUCUCUACUAAAAAUACAAAAAUUAGCUGGGUGUGGUGGUGCACGCCUGUAGUCCCAGCUACUCAGGAGGCUGAGACAGGUGAAUCACUUGAACCCAGGAGGCAGAGGUUGCAGUGAGCUGAGAUUGAACCAUUGCACUCCAGCCUGGGCAACAGAGUGAGACUCCGUCUCAAAAAAAAGAAAAAGUCAGGAUUGGUGUGUACAGCAGGUACAGCAGAAGGUGAAGGAGGGCAGUUCACUCAGAAAAGAACUGUGGCAGAUAUUGCAACAUCUCUAGUGUAAUUCUCUUUGAUUUAUAAAAGGCUAAUUACUUUGUUACUUUAAAUCAUGAAAUCAUGACACACCUCACAAAUAAAUGUCAUAUACUCCUUUUCUAAACCCUGUAGUUGAAACUAUUGGUCUAGAAAAUAAACUAAUUAUUGGGCCCCAAAUUGAGAGGCUUGAAUAUUACAAAUCAGACACUUUCUCAUAUUUUCGGGGAGAAGGACAGGUUUACUUGUAUUGAGAACCCAAGUUUCAAAUAAUAAUAAUUUAAUUAAAAUAAUUUUUUUGAGAUGGGGUCUCACUCUGUCGCCCAGGCUGAAGUGCAGUGGCACAAUCUUGGCUCACUGCCACCUCCGCCUCCUGGGCUCCAGUGAUUCUCCCACCUCAGCCUCCCUGGUAGCUGGGACUACAGGUGCCCACCCCCACUCCCAGCUUUUUUUUUGUAUUUUUGGUAAAGAUGGGGUUUCACCGUGUUGCCCAGGCUGGGCUCAAACUCCUGAGCUCAAGUGAUCUGCUCACCUUGGCCUCCCAAAGUACUGGGAUUACAGGUGUGAGCCACUGCACCUGGUCCAUUAAUAAUCAUUUGUCUGGAACAUACAGAGUACCUUCACAAUCUCUCUCUCAUUUGAAACUUGAGACAACUUAUUUAAUUAAGCAGGGAGGUAUUCUUAUCCCUAUUUACAAGGAAUGAGGAAUCUCAGGUUUAGAGAAGUUGAUGGGUUUAUGCAAAACUAUAUGCAACAUACAGUUUUUGGAAUAGACAGUGCUUGGAUCAGUUUUCCUGAUUCAGAUCAGUGUCUUUUAUACUUCCUUUUCUUAAGAAAGUUUUCAGGAUUGGGAUAAUGCAGUUACAAAGUACUUCUGCUAAGUUAUUGAUCUUGGGCUAAAUAAUAUAGUCAGAACUGUCAUUUGGAAAAAUAGUAUGUUCUUCCAGAGUUGCCCUCUUACAGAAGGUGAAAAUUAAUCUUACUCCCUUAACUUUCUCGGGAAGGUUGAUGUUAAACUUUUAAAAGCCAUCCCUUUAAAAAGAAUGCUAGAUAUAGACAAUUUUUAAAGCCAAAGUGAAGGUUUACAGGUCAUUUAAACACUCAAUUACUUGGGGAGAAACUGAAAUGCCAGCAGAUGGGGUUAUUUAUAGCACUGUGCUGAGAGCCAGUAUAUAUAUUUAUUUGUACGAGAGUGGAAUCCUGGCUCUGGAUCAUUUCCUGACUUGUUUGAGACUCUAAGCAAGUCAUUUAUUAUGUCUGUAUUUUGGAAUUAUAGCCUUGCCUCAAAGGUGUGCUCUGUGAUUAAAUGAACUUCUAUUUGUAAAUCUUGUUUAAAUUUCUCUGAUGAAAGGCAUAUCAGUGUUGAUAGCUGUGGAGGAUAAGAACGCUGACAAUAAUAAUGAGUACGAUAAUAUCAGUGCCUUGGAUUUAUGCAGUAUCAUUACUUCGGGGCUUUGCGUGCCUCCUAUGUAGUAUGUAGUCUAUAACAAAAAACUGUAAUUACAAACAUUUCACAAGAAAUCAUUCUUAUUGUGAUAUUUUUAUUACUUGCAGAAUUGAGCAUACCACAAAAAAGUUCUCAUUUUGUGUCCUCCCAUCCCAUUCUCCUCACUAACCAAAGGUAACCACAGUUAAUUGUUUUUUAUAUAUCCAGAUGUAUAUGUAUAUAUAUUAGUGUAUAUGACUGAUAUAUUUUAUAAAUUAUUCCACAAUUUAUAAAAUAUUUAUAAUAUUUUGGCCUUAUCAAUAUGCCUUGAAGAAAUUUUCAUGUCAGCAUGUAAAUCUUUCUUUUUAAUAGGUGCAUAGUUUCCCAGUUGAUUUAUUUAAUCAUUCCCUUAUGAAAAGAUUCUUGAGUUGUUUCUAAUUUUUCAACAUUAGAAACAAUGCUACAAUGAAUGUCCUGUAUAUACAUCAUCUUUGCACAUCUAUGUGUGUACUUCUGUAGGUUAGAUUUCUAACAUGGCUUAAACUUUCAGGCUGAAAGGAUAUGUAUUAAAUUGUACCCCAGAAAGCCUUACCAAUGUACACUUCCAUAAAUAGUACACAACAGUAUCUUUCUCCUAUGGUCAACGUUGCUUUGUAUAGUAUCAGUCUUUCUAAAUUUUGCCAUGAAGAUUAAAAACUCAUUUUAAUUUUCUUAACUACUAAUGAGGUUGAGCAUCUUUUUGUAAGUUUAUCAACCAUUUACAUUUAUUCUUCUGUGAACUGCCUGUUCAGAGGCUUUCCCAUUUUCCCUGUGGGGUGAGUUUCUGUUUCUGUUUCUCUUUCAUUCUUUCUUUCUCUCCCUUUUCUCUCUUUCUUUCUUUCCUUCUUUUUUGUUUCUUUCCUUCUCUCUUUUUCUCUUUCCUUUCCUUUCCUUUCCUUUUCCUUUCCUUUCCUUUCCUUUUCCUUUGCUUUCCUUUCCUUUCCUUUCCUUUCCUUUCCUUUCCUUUCCUUUCCUUUCCUUUCCUUCUCCUUUCUUUCCCUCCCCACUUCCUUCCUUCCUUCCUUCCUUCCUUCCUUCCUUCCUUCCUUCCUUCCUUCCUUCCUUCUUUCUUUCUUGACAGGGUCUCACUCUGUCACCCAGGCUGGAGUGCAGUGGUGCAGUCAUGACUAACUACAACCUCAAUCUCCUGGGCUCCAGUGAUCCUCUUGCCUCAGCCUCCCAAGUAGCUGGGAUUACAGGCGCAUGCCACCAUGUCUGGCUGAUUUUUAUUUAUUUAUUACUUCCAUUUUUCUGUAGAAACGAGGUCUCACUAAGUUGCCCAGGCUGGUCUGUGUCUUAUUGAUUGUAAAAUCUCUUAAAAUAUUUUGAUUAUGAAUACUGGGUUAGGUAUGUUUCCCACCUUGCUGUUACAUUGUUAUCUUUUUUCUUGCUGAAGAAAAAGUUUUUAAUAUUUAUGAAAUCAAGUCUGGUGUGGUGGUGCACACCCAUAGUCUCAGCUGCUUGGGAGGCUGAGGGGGGAGGGUUGCUUGAGCCCAGGAAGUUGAGACUGCUGUGAGCCAUGAUGGCACCACUGCACUCCAGCUUGGGUGACAGAGCAAGACCCUGUCUCAAAAAAAAUAAAUAAAAUUAUGAAAUCAGUCUUUUCAUUUGUCAGGCUUUUAAAUAAUUUUUAAAAAGUCAGGCUUUUAAAGAAUUAACGUUAGUUAAUUCUCAGAAGUUACAAUGUUAGUUUUAUUCAGAGUCUUACUGAGCACUGCAACCCGGGAGAGUCUUUCAGAGAGUCUCUGUUAGACUGCUUCAAAGCAGCGUUUCAGCCCUCGCUUCUAUACAGGCGGUGGAGGUUCUGCAUGUGCUCGGAAGUUACCUAAAGGUGCUCAGAGGUUACAUUAGAGCAAAAUCUCAUCAAAGUCCAGGAGCGAGAGUACGUCUGGUUAUAGAUUACAGAGGUAUAUUCAUUAAUCCUGUCAGAUGUUAUCUUAUGGAUAGGAAAAGGCAACGGCUCAUUGAACUUAUCUUUUCCAAAAAUGCAGUGAUUCAGACAUGGGAAACUGUGCUCUAUCCUGCUUAUGGUCUUCAAGCAUUUUUACAGAGAGCUGAGCUCAGUCACUGAGUCAGGGGUUUGGGAGGUUUAUGCUGACAAGCAGAAUGAGCAAACGUGGUUCUUCACAGCAAGGGCAGACGGUGUGGCUAGCCAGAGGCAGAUGUUUGCUACUUUGCCUCACACAUUUAUGACUUUUGGGAUUUGUGUCUUCUUAAGAAGGACACUCUUCAACUACCCCUACCCUAAGAUUAUAAAAUAGUGUCCUUAUAUUUCUGCUAUUUUUAAAAGCAUCAGGUGCUCUUUAAUCCUUGUGAGGUGCAUUCUGAAUAGCUGUGAGAAAGGAACCUAUUUUAUUAUUUUACCAAAUGUUUAGCCAGUUGCUUCAAAUGUGCUAAUUAGUUCAUUUUAAUCCCAGUAAUUUGAAAUGCCAUCUUUCAAAAAUAUCAAACAUUUGUAAUUCUUGAUUCUGUUUCUAGACAGAGCCAUUUGCCUAAUUCAGUAUUAAUAUUGCAUUAUUUAAUUUUUACUAUUUUCUGCAACUGCAUAAUCUAUCUUGAUAUCUGAUAUACAAUGUUUUCCCUCAUUCUUUUUUUCCCCCCAGAAUUGCAGGGCAAAAUCUUGUGCAUUUUUUCUUCAGUAGUAACAUUAGAAUGAGCUUUUUAGACUCUAUAAAUAAUAACACUGGGAUUUUGGUUAGGAAUUAUAGAUUAAAUGUAGGAGAGUUGGCAUUUUUAUAGUAGUGAGUCUUUUCAGUCUGGAUCAUCAUGUGUUUUUCCAUUUAUUUAGGCCACCAUUUAGGUCUGCUUUUGUCUUUUUUUUUUUUUUAGGAUUUUCAGUAUAUUUGUGUAAUUUUCUUUAUCUGAGUUUAUUACAAAGUUAAUUCUCUGUUAUUUUAUAGUUAUGGUUUUUAUCAUGAAUACAGUUGUAAAAUUCUAUUUUCUAAUACUUAAUUAUUGAUGAGAGAAGUUAUUUAUUAUUAAUAUUUUUUCUGUAUCCUACCUGAUAAUUUAAUUUUUCUUUUAUUAUGGAAGAUUUCAAAUAUAUACAAAGUAAACAGAAUAGUUAUGAACUGCCACGUACCCACCCCAAAGUUUCAACAAUGAUCAACAUUCUGCCAUUCUUGUUUUGACUCCCUUCCUACUUUCCACUCCCAAAAUUGCUCUUACUUUUUACAGUUCUUUUUUACCUCUUAGAUUAAAAAAAUUUAAAGUUUAUUUUGAGAUAACUGUGGAUUCACAUGCAGUUGGGAGAAAUAAUACAGAGAGAUCUCAUGUACCCUUUACUCACUUUUCCCCAGUAGUAAAGUCUUACACAACUCCAGUACAAUAUCACAACAAGGAUGUUGACAUUGAUACAAUCAAGAUAAAGAGAAUUUCCAUCACCUCAAGAAUCUCUGGUGUUGUCCAUUUAUAGUUACACUCAUUUCUCUGCCACUCCCACUUAACCCCUGGCAACCACUAAUCUGUUCUCUGUUUCUGUAGUUUUGCCAUUUCAAGAAUGUUAUAUAGGCCAGGUACAGUGGCUCAUGCCUGUAUUCCCAGUACAUUGGGAGGCCGAGGCAGGCGGAUUGCGUGAGCUCAGGAGUUUGAGACCAGCCUGGGCAACAUGGUGAAACCCCCAUCUCUACUAAAAUAUAAAAAAUUAGCCAGCGCCUGUAGUCCCAGCUACUCAGGAGGCUGAGGGUGGAGAAUUGCUUGAACCCUGGAGGCAGAGGUUGCAGUGAGCUGAGAUCAUGCCAUUGCAUUGCAACCUGGGCGACAGAGAGUGUUAUAUAAAUGGAAUCAUACAUUAUUAGAUAACUUUAUGAGAUUGAAGUUUUUUCACUUAGCAUAAUUCUUUGGAGAUUCACCCAGAUAGUAUAACAAUAGUUCAUUCCUUUUUAUUGCUGAUCAGUAUUCCAUGGUAUGGGUAUACCACAAUUUGUUUAACCCGUUACAUGUUGAAGGACAUCUUGGUUAUUUCCAAUUUUUGGCUAUUAUGAAUAAAGGUGCUAUAAACUUUUGGGUACAGGUUUUGUGUGAACAUGAGUUUUCAUUUUCCAGGAUAUAGGCCUAAGAGUGCAAUUAUAUGCAUGGUAUAAUGGAUGGUAAUUGCAUGUCUAACUUUUUAAAAAAUUGAAAAACUAUUUUCCAGUUUGGCUGUACCAUUUUACAUUUCCAUUAGCUAUGUAUGAAUGAUCAGGUGUUUCCACAUUCUUGCCAAUAUUUGGCAUUGUUACGAUUUAUGUUUUAGCCAUCCUAAUAGGUGCAUAGUGAUAUCUCACUGUAGUAUUAAUUUGCGUUUUUCCCAUGGCUAAUAUGUUUGAACAUCUCUUAAUGUGUUAUUUGCCAUCUGUAUAUCUUAAUUGAUAAAAUGUCUCUUCAUGUCUUUUUGUUUAUUUUCUGAUUGGAUUUUUUUUUUUUUUUACUGUUGUGUUUUAGGAUUUUUUUUUGUUUUGGUGGGGGCACAGGAUCGUGCUCUGCCACCCAGGCCGGUGUACAGUGGUGCAAUAAUAGCUUACUGGAACCUUAAACUCCUGGGAUCAAAUGAUCCUGUGGCUUCGGCCUCCCAAGUAGCUAGGAUGCCUGGCUAAUUUUGUAUUUUUUUAGAGACAGAGUCUCACUAUGUUGCCCAGGCUGGUCUCGAACUUCUGGUCUCAAGCAGUCCUCCCUUUUUGGCCUCCUAAAGUGCCGGGAUUAUAGGCGUGAGAAUUCUUUACAUAUUCUAGAUGCUAGUCCUUUGUUGAAGUUUAAUAUUUUCUAUUUGUCUAUUUUGGUUUUUGUUGCCUGUGUUUUUGAAGUUUUAGCCAUAAAUCUUUGCCUGGACUAAUGUUCCUGAAGCAUUUCCUCUAUAUUAUCUUCUAGUAUUUUUUAUAAUUUUGGGUCUUAAGUUUAUGUUUUUAAUUCAUUUUGAAUUGAUUUUUGUAUGUAUGAUGCCUCCAGCUUUGUUCUUCUUGCUUAGGAUUGCUUUGUCUAUUCAGGAUCUCUUUUGGUUCCAUACGCAUUUUAGGAUUUUUUUUUUUUUUUUUUUUUGAGACAGAGUCUCGCUCUGUCACCAGGCUGGAGUGCAGUGGUGCAAUCUUGGCUCGCUGCAAUCUCUGCCUCCUAGGUUCAAGUGAUUUUCCUGCCUCAGCCUCCUGAGUAGCUGGGACUACAGGCACCUGCCAUCACGCCCGGCUAAUUUUUGUAUUUUUAGUAGAAAUGGGGUUUUACCAUGUUGCCCAGGAUGGUCUCUAUCUCUUGACCUUGUGAUCCACCUGCCUCAGCCUCUCAAAGUGCUGGGAUUAUAGGCAUGAGCCACCGCGCCCAGCCCAGGAUUUUUUUUUUCUAUUUCUGUAAAGAAUGUAAUUGGUAUUUUUGUAGGGCUUGCAUUGAAUCUGUAAAUUGCUUUGAGUAGUAUGGCCAUUUUAACAAUAUUAAUCCUUCCAAUUCAUAAGGAUGAGAUGUCUUUCCAUUUUUUUGUGUCCUUUUCAAUUUCUUUCAUUGGUGAUUUAUAGAUUCCCUUGUAGAGGUCUUUCACUUCCUUGGCUAAAUUUAUGCCUAGGCAUUUUGUUUGUAGCUAUUGUAAAUGGGAUUAUUUUAUUGAUUUGUUUUUCAGCUAGUUUGUUAUUGGUAUAUAAAAAUGCUACUGAUGUUUGUAUGUUGAUUUUGUAUUCUGCAACUUUACUGAUUUCAUUUAUUGGUCCUAAAAGUUUUUUGGUGGCAUCUUUAGGUUUUUCUAUAUAUAAGAUCAUGUUGUCUACAAAGAAGGACAAUUUGACUUCCUCUUUUACUUUUUUUUUUUUUUUUCCUGAGAGAGAGUUUCACUCUUGUUGCCCAGCCUGGAGUGCAAUGGCGCGAUCUCUGCUCACUGCAACCUCUGCCUCCCAGGUUCAAGUGAUUCUACUGCCUCAGCCUCCUGAGUAGCUGGGAUUACAGGCACAUGCCACCACACCUGGCUAAUUUUUGUAUUUUUAGUAGAGACGGGGUUUUGCCAUGUUGGCCAGGCUGGUCUCGAACUCCUGACUUCGGCUGAUCUGCCCACCUUGGCCUCCCAAAGUGUUGGGAUUAUAGGUGUGAGCCAUGGUCCUGGCCACACUUCCUCUUUUUCAAUUUGGAUGCCUUUUAUUUCUCUCUUUUGCAUGAUUGCUUGGGUAGGACUUCCGGUACUAUGUUGAAUAAGUGUGGUGAAAGUGAGAAUUUUUGUCUUCUAGUUCCUAGAGGAAAGGCUUUCAGCUUUUCUCAUUGAGUAGAUUAGCUGUGGGUUUGUCAUAUAUGGCCUUUAGUAUGUUUUGGUAUGUUCCUCCUGUGCCUAAUUUGUUGAGAGUUUUUAUUGUGAGGGGAUCAAAUACUUAUCUACAUCUGUUGAGAUAAUCAUAUAGUUUUUUUGAUGUAAUGCAACUGUUAAUGUAAUAUAUUAAUUCAACUGGUACCAUAACAAUCAAUGAGUGGUAGGAAACUCCCUAUUCCAUUUUAUUUGUUCACUUUCAUCAACAUUUCUUUUUUUAAUUGGGCAUCCAAUUUAGUAAUGCCUUUUGCCAGAUAAUGGAGAUAACAUUAUUCUUUAUCUGAGGUGGGAAGAUUGCUUGAGUCCACGAGUUUGAGACCAGCCUGGAUGUCUUAGCAAAACCUCAUCUCUACAAAAAAUACAAAAAUUAGCCAGGCAUGGUGGUGUGUGCCUGUAGUCCCAGCUACCCAGGUGGCUGAGGCGGGAGGAUUGCUUGAGCCUGGGAGGCAGAGGUUGCAGUGAGCCGAGAACAGGCUGCUGCACUCCAGCCUGGGCAACAGAGUGAGAUUGUCUAAAAACAAACAAACAAACAAACAAACAAAAAACAAAAGUUAUUAUUGAUAUGUGAGAACUUAUUUCUGUCAUUUUGUUGUUUUCUGCUUGUCUGUAUAUCCUUGGUCCCUUUCUUCCUCUUUUACUGUUUACCAUUGAGGUUUAGUGGAUUUCUGUAGCAGUAAUGUUUGACUUCUUUCUCUUUCUUAUUUAUAUAUCUACUGUACCAGUUUUACAUUUGCAUGGGUUUGCUUGUUGGCAAAUAUUGUCCUUUUGCUUUCAGAUAUAGGACUGACUUAAGCCUGUCUUGUAGGACCAGUCUAGUGGUGAUGAAUUCCCUCAGUUUUUGCUUGUCUGGCAUUUUAUUUCUCUUCAUUUUCGAAGGAUAUCUUUGCUAGGUUUAGUAUUUUUGGCUGGUAGUGUUUUUCUCUCAGCACUUUAAACAUACCAUUGUAUUCUCUUCUGGCCUGUAAAGUUUCUGCUGAGAAAUCUGCUGUUUGUCUGAUGGGGAUUCCCGUAUACAUGACUUGAUGCUUUUAUCUUGCUCUUUUUAGAAUUCUCUUUGUCUUUGACUUUUGAUAGUUUGACUAUAAUAUGUCUUGAAGAAGACCUUUUUGGGUUGAAUCUAUUUGAGGAUCUCUGAGCUGUAUCUGGGAUGUCUAAAUCUCUUGCCAGACUUGGGAAGUUGUCAGCUAUUAUUUUGUUAAAUAGAUUUCCUAUGCCUUUGCUCGUUUCUCUUCCUUCUGAAACUCCCAGAAUUUGAACAUUUGGUCACUUUGUGGUGUUCUAUAUGUUAUGUAGGCUUUCUUCAUUUUUUUUUUCCGAGUUGUCUUCAAGUUCAGAAAUUCCCUCCCCUUCCCCUUCCCCUUACCCCUCCCCUUCCUCUUUCUUUCGUUCUUUCUUUCUUUCUCUCUCUUUCUCUCUUUCCUUCCUUCCUUCCUUUCUUUUUUUCUGAGAUGGAGUCUUACUUUAUCACCCAGGCUAGAGUGCAGUGGUGCAAUCUCAGCUCACUGCAACCCCCGCCUCCUGGGUUCAAGUGAUUCUCCUGCCUCAGCCUCCUGAGUAGCUGGGACUACAGGUGUGUGCCACCACGCCCAGCUAAUUUUUGUAUUUUUAGUAGAGACAUGGUUUCACCAUGUUGGCCCAGCUGGUCUCGAAUUCCUUACCUCAAGUGAUCUGCUCACCUCGGUCUCCCAAAGUGUUAGGACUACAGGCAUGAGCCAAUGUGCCCAGCCAGAAAUUAUUUCUUACGCCUAAUCUAGUCUAUUGUUGAAGUUGUCUAUAGUAUUUUUUAUUUUAUUCAUCAAAUUCUUCAGUUCCAGGAUUUCUGUUUGUUUUUUCUUUUUUCUUUUUUUUUGAGACGGAGUCUCGCUCUGUCGCCCAGGCUGGAGUGCAGUGGCGCGAUCUCGGCUCACUGCAAGCUCCGUCUCCCGGGUUCAUGCCAUUCUCCUGCCUCAGCCUCCUGAGUAGCUGGGACUACAGGCGCCCGCCACCACACCUGGCUAAUUUUUUUGUAUUUUUUAGUAGAGACGGGGUUUCACCAUGUUAGCCAGGGUGGUCUUGAUCUCCUGACCUCGUGAUCCGUCCGCCUCGGCCUGCCAAAGUGCUGGGAUUACUUUGGCGUGAGCCACCGCACCCGGCCACCUGUUUGUUUUUUAUUAAAUGAUAUCUAUUGCAUUGUUGAAUUUUUCAUUCAGAUCAUAAAUUGUUUCUUUGAUUUCUAUUUUUUACCUGUGUUCUUUUGUAACUCACUGAGUUUCUCUGUUCUUUUCAAGCAUUUCAUAAAUUUCCUUUUCUUUCAGAUCUGUUAUCAGAGAAUUAUUGUGUUCCUUUGGAGGUGUCAUGUUUUGUGUUUGUGUGUGUGGUUUGAGACAGGGUCUAUCUUUAUCACCCAGGCUAGAGUGCAUAGUUCGCUGCAGCCUCAAAGUCUUGGGCUCAAGGGAUCCAUCUGCCUCAGUCCCCCAAGUAGCUAGGACUAUGGGCAUACACUACCAGGCCUGGCUACGUUUUUAUUUUUCAUAGUGAUAGGGUCUUGCUAUGUUGCCCAGGCUGGUCUCCAACUCCUGGCCGUAAGCAAUUCCCCUUGUUGCCUUAUUAAGCACUUACUUAUCUGUCAGGCACUUUAUUUUAUUUUAUUAUUAAUUUUUGAGAUGAAGUCUCGCUCCGUCGCCUAGUUUGGAGUAUAGUGGCAUGAUCUUGGCUCACUGUAACCCUGCCUUCUGGGUUCAAGCAAUUCUCAUGCCUCAGUCUCCCGAGUAGCUGGGAUUACAGGCAUGCAUCACCAUGCUCGGCUAAUUUUUUGUGUUUUUAGUAGAGACAGUGUUUCACCAUGUUGAUCUUGAACUCCUGACCUCAGGUGAUCUGCCCCCCUCAGACUCCCAAAGUGCUGGGAUUACAGGUGUGAGCCACCACACCCAGCCUCCAGUGCCUUUAAGUAAUUUUAAUUUUUUUUCCAGAUUUUAUUAUUGUUAUCUAAAUGAGGGUUAGUAUAACCAAGGUACUCUGCCAGUAUGGGCAGAUGAAAGUCCCUAGUUACUGAAUUUUGUGUGUUGAUCUUUUUUUAAAAGUUUUAAUUUUAAAACAUUUAAAUAGUUUUUGGAGUACAGGACAAGUUCUUUAGUGGUGAUUUCUGGGAUUUGGUGCAUCUGCCACCUGAGCAGUGUACAUUGUAACAAAUAUGUAGUCUUUUAUCUCCCUCCCACCCUUCCCCCACCCCAAGUCUCAAAAUUCUGUUAAUUCAUUCUUAUGCCUUUGUAUCCUCCUAGCUUAGCUCCUCCCCACUUAUAAGUGAGAACAUGUGAUAUUUAGUUUUCCAUUCCUGAGUUACCUACCUUAGAAUAAUGGCCUCCAGCUUCAUCUGAGUUGCUACAAAAGACAUUAUUUCAUUUUUUUUUUAUGGUUGAGUAGUAUUCCAUGGUGUAUAUAUACACCAUAUUUCUUUAUCCACUGGUUGGUUGAUGGGUACUUAGGUUGGUUCCACAUUUUUGCAGUUGCGAGUUGUGCUGCUAUAAAUGUGUGUACAUGUGUCUUUUUCAUAUAAUGACUUGUUUUCCUUUGGGUAGAUACCCAGUAGUGGGAUUGCUGGAUUGAAUGGUAGUUCUAUUUUUAGUUCUUUAAGGAAUCUCCAUACUGUUUUCCUUAAUGGUUGUACGAGUUUACAUUACCACCAGCAGUGUAAAAGUGUUCCCUUUUGACCAUACCCACACCAACAUCUAUUGAUUUUUAACUUUUAAAUUAUGCCCAUUCUUGCAGGAUUAAAGUGGUAUCUCAUUGUGGUUUUAAUUUGUGUUUUCCUGAUAAUUAGUGAUGUUGAACAUUUUCUCAUAUGUUUAUUGCCUCCUUUUUUUUUUUUUUUGAGACAGGGUUUUGCUCUGUUACUCAAGCUGGAGUGCAGUGGUGUGAUCUCAGCUCAGUGCAACCUCUGCUUUCUGGGCUCAAGUGAUCCUCUAGCCUCAGCCUCCUGAGUAGUUGGGACUACACGUAUGAGCCACCAUACCUGGCUAAUUUUUGUACAGAUAGGUUUUCACCUUGUUGCCCAGGCUGGUCUUGAACUCCUGAGCUCAAAGUGACUCACCUACCUCAGCCUCCAAAAGUGCUGGGAUUACAGGCUACCACGCCCAGCCUGUAUAUCCUCUUUUGAGAAUUUUCUAUUCGUGUUCCUUGCCCAUUUUUCAAUAGGCUUAUUUUUUUUUCUUUGUUUGAGUUCCUUAUAGAUUCUGGUUAUUAGUCCUUUGUUGGAUGCAUAGUUUGCAAAUAUUUUCUCCCACUCUGUGAGUUGUCUGCUUACUAUGUUGAUUAUUUCUUUUGCUAUGCAGAAGCUCUUUGUUUAAUUAGGUCCCAUUUAUUUAUUCUUGUUUUGUUGCAUUUGCUUUUGGGUUCUUAGUCAUGAAUUCCUUGCCUAAGCCAAUGUCUAGAAGGGUUUUUCUGAUGUUAUCCUCUAGAAUUUUUAUUCAGAUCUUAGAUUUAAGUCUUUGAUCCAUCUUGAAUUGAUUUUUGUGUAAGCUGAGAGAUGAGGAUCCAGUUUCAUUCUCUAUAGGUGGCUUGCCAGUUUCCCCAGCUCCAUUUAUUGAAUAGAGUAUCCUUUCCCCAGUUUGUGUUUUUGUAUGCUUUGUCAAAGAUCAGUUGGCUGUAAGCAUUUGGUCUUAUUUUUGGAUUCUCUGUUCUGUUCCAUUGGUCUACAUGCCUAUUUUUAUACCAGUAACAUGCUGUUUUGGUAACUGUAGUCUCAUAGUAUAAUUUGAAGUCAGGCAGUGUGAUGCCUCCAGAUUUGUUCUUUUUGCUUAGUAUUGCUUUGCCUGUAUGGGCUCUUUUUUGGUGCCAUAUGAAUUUAAGAAUUGUUUUUUCUAGUUUUGUGAAGAAUGAUGAUGGCAUUUUGGUGGGAAUUGCAUUGAAUCUGUAAAUUGCCUUAGGCAGUAUGGUCAUUUUCACAAUAUUGAUUCUACUCAUUCAUGAGUAUGGCAUGUGUUUCCAUUUGUUUGUGUUAUCUAUGACUUCCUUCAGCAAUGUUUUAUAGUUUUCCUUGUACAGAUCUUUCACCUCCUUGGUUAAGUAUAUUCCUGAGUAUUGUAUUGUAUUUUGCAGCUGUUGUAACAGGGAUUGAGUUCUUGAUUUGAUUCUCAGCUUGGUUGUUGGUGUAUAGCAGUGCUACUGAUUUGUGUACAUUGAUUUUGUAUCCAAAGAGUGUACUGAAUUCGUUUAUCAGAUCUAGGAGAUUUUUGGAUGAGUCUUUAGGGUUUUCUAGUUAUAUGAUCAUACUGUCAGUGAACAGCAACAGUUUGAUUUCCUGUAUUUCUAUUUGGAUGCCCUUUAUUUCUUUCUCUUGUCUGAUUUCUUUAGCCAGGCCUUCCAGUAGUAUGUUGAAUAGAAGCAGUGAAAAUGGCAUCUUUGUCUUGUUCCAGUUCUCGGGGGAAUGCUUUCAACUUUUCCCCAUUCAGUAUUAUGUUCAGUGUGAGUUUGUCGUCUAUGGCUUUUAUUGCUUUGAGUUAUGUCCCUUCUAUGUUGAGAGUUUUUAUCAUAAAGUGAUACUGGAUUUUCUAAAAUGCUUUUUCUGCUUUUUUGUUUUUAAUUCUGUUUCUGUAGUAUAUCACAUUUACUGACUUGUAUACAUUAAAUCAUUCCUGCAUCUCUGGUAUGAAACCCACUUGAUCAUGAUGUAUUAUCUUUUGAUAUGUGAUUGGAUUUAGUUAGCUAGUUUUUUGUUUUUGUUUUUUAGGAUUUUUGCAUCUAUGUCUAUCAGGGAUACUGGUCUGUAGUUUUCUUUUGUUAAGUCGUCUCCUGGUUUUGGUAUUUGGAUGAUACUGGCUUCACAGAAUGACUUAGGGAGGAUUCCCUUUUUCUCCACUUUUGGAAUAGUUUCAGUAGGAUUGGUACCAAUUCUUCUUUGAAUGUCUGAUAGAAUUCAAUUGUGAAUCCAUCUGGUCCUGGACUUAUUUUUGUUGCAAUUUUUAAAAAUUACUGAUUCAUUGUUACUGCUUGUUAUUGGUCUGUUCCAGGUUUCUAUUUCUUCCUGAUUGAAUCUAGGAGGGUUGUAUAUUUCCACAAAUUUGUGUGUUGAUCUUGUAUUUGCCC
rnacentral:lncRNA from 1 species